CCCAGUGUAGCACAGUGGUUUGUACGUCAGACCGCAACUCUGCAGACCAGGGUUUAAUUCCCAGUUCAGCCA